rnacentral:tRNA from 1 species
GGGGCUGUAGCUCAGUGGCAGAGUGCUUGCCUAACAUGCAUGAGACACUAGGUUCAAUCCUCAGCACUA